rnacentral:rRNA from 1 species
AACGAACGCUGGCGGCAUGCCUAACACAUGCAAGUCGAACGAGACCUUCGGGUCUAGUGGCGCACGGGUGCGUAACGCGUGGGAACCUGCCCUUAGGUUCGGAAUAACUCCCCGAAAGGGGUGCUAAUACCGGAUAAUGUCUUCGGACCAAAGAUUUAUCGCCUUUGGAUGGGCACGCGUUGGAUUAGCUAGUUGGUAGGGUAAAAGCCUACCAAGGCGACGAUCCAUAGCUGGUCUGAGAGGAUGAUAAGCCACACUGGGAAUGAGACACGGCCCAGACUACGACGGGAGGCAGCAGUGGGGAAUAUUGGACAAUGGGCGAAAGCCUGAUCCAGCAAUGCCGCGUGAGUGAUGAAGGCCUUAGGGUUGUAAAGCUGUUUUAGCCGGGAUGAUAAUGACAGUACCGGGAGAAUAAGCUCCGGCUAACUCCGUG